rnacentral:rRNA from 1 species
GACGAACGCUGGCGGCGUGCCUAAUACAUGCAAGUCGAGCGGGCCAAAUCGGAGCUUGCUCUGGUUUGGUCAGCGGCGGACGGGUGAGUAACACGUGGGCAACCUGCCCGCAAGACCGGGAUAACUCCGGGAAACCGGAGCUAAUACCGGAUAACACCGAAGACCGCAUGGUCUUUGGUUGAAAGGCGGCCUUUGGCUGUCACUUGCGGAUGGGCCCGCGGCGCAUUAGCUAGUUGGUGAGGUAACGGCUCACCAAGGCGACGAUGCGUAGCCGGCCUGAGAGGGUGACCGGCCACACUGGGACUGAGACACGGCCCAGACUCCUACGGGAGGCAGCAGUAGGGAAUCUUCCGCAAUGGACGAAAGUCUGACGGAGCGACGCCGCGUGAGCGAAGAAGGCCUUCGGGUCGUAAAGCUCUGUUGUGAGGGACGAAGGAGCGCCGUUUGAAUAAGGCGGCGCGGUGACGGUACCUCACGAGAAAGCCCCGGCUAACUACGUGCCAGCAGCCGCGGUAAUACGUAGGGGGCGAGCGUUGUCCGGAAUUAUUGGGCGUAAAGCGCGCGCAGGCGGUCCUUUAAGUCUGAUGUGAAAGCCCACGGCUCAACCGUGGAGAGUCAUUGGAAACUGGGGGACUUGAGUGCAGGAGAGGAGAGCGGAAUUCCACGU